rnacentral:tRNA from 1 species
GGUGCUUGGCCUAGUGGUUAAGGCGUUGCACUCAUGACUGCAAGAACAUGGGUUCGAUUCCCAGACCA